CCUGUCCACACCUCUGCCCCAGAGCUGCCUCCUGCCUGGCACUGCCGCCACACUCCCCUCCUGGGAUGGGGCUUCUGCUCCCGGGCUCACUCAAGGAGACUGCGGCAUGUUGACCACACCAGACUGGGUUUCAGGGAAUGGGCAUGCCAGGUGCCAAGGAGCCAAACAGAUGGCUUUCCAGGCAGCAAGGUCCUUGGGGCCUUCUUGGAGGAGCUUGGGUGACAGCCAGGUGAGCACCCAGACCCCAGACCCUCAUGUGCUGUGUGCCUGGCCCCUUCUGUACUGGCCAUUUGUGGCCAGGGCCAAGCCUGUGACUCAACUCCAGGGGCAAGAUGGGGAGUGAGCUGAUGGCUCCGAGACUGGUCAGGAGCCCAGGCCAGUGAGAUGGGGCCUGGAGCCUUGUCUGUGUCACAUUAGGUACCAUGGGAGCUGCUGAGACCUGACAUUUUGUCCCCUGCCUACAUGGCUUGGCCCAUGGAGAAGGAGCAGUGAAUGGGAUCGUCGGGGAAGCCCCUCUUCCUGCUCUGCUCCCCUGGAAACUGUUGCAAAACUCCCAGCCGCCUCAUGGCAAAUGCCCAAAGCAUGUUCCGCACCCAGGCGGGGGCCCCUGCUAAUGAGAACCUUGGUGCAGCUGCAGCCAGGAGGGGAGCGGGCCCAGGAGCCAGGCUCAGGUCCAGCUGGUUCCUCUCUGGCGCCUUCUGAACCCGUCUCAGCAGGUCCACAGCACCUGGGCAGAGGUCAGAGACCAGGGGAGGCCGGGCCUUGCCCUCCCUUCUGCCCAGGGCCCAGUGUUCUUGAUAGAAGACCCUUCUGGGGAGCCAGGGAGCUCAGGGGACAGAUAAGGGAAGGACGCCCCCUGACUCCAGGCCCCUGAGCCUGGCGGGAAGUGGCUGCGGCCCAGGCAGCCAGUCCUGGUGGUGUUCUCCCUGCAUGCCCUCCGUGGCUGGGCUGCCACCCCACCCGGCCCGAAUCUGUCUUGACCUGCAGGAAUACACGGGCGGCGCCAGGCAUUACCUCACAGCGGGACUACACAGUUGCUGGCUUUGCUCCUGGGCAAGGAGGAGCAGGCCAGAGCCUCUUUUGCUUCCUUUUCUUGCCCAUGCCGCUUCUAGAAGCCAGGCACAGGUUGCCAAGAGGUGACACGAAACAGGAGGAAACUCAGUGACCUCUGCCUCUCCCACAUUCCUCCCCGCGGGGGAGGACCUCGCCGCUCUGAAGAGCACCGUGCACAUGUGGGUGCACAAACGUGGGUGUUGGUGUGGACGGGGCGCAGAUCUCCGUGGAUGAACUGCGUCUGGACUCUUAGAUUCAUAAAAUAUUCGAGGGUUUGGGAGUCACAGACCCUCCCCUCUCCUCAGUGCACUUUGGCAUUUGCACGGUGUCUUCCCCGGACAGCACAGCAAUAAAUGGUGUGAUUGCGUGG
rnacentral:lncRNA from 1 species